CGACCCUUUCAGAGUACUGAGAUGAAAAAUCUAGAAUGCCUUCGGGUCUAGUUAUCAAUUUUGGGGGUGAAGCGGGGGAAAGAACCUCGCCAGUCAGACCCAGACGGGUUUCAUUCAAGGUGCCCUUCAACGUUUUUCCUUAGUCUUUGGAAAGAACUAGUAAUGAAGGAAUCGCAGAAGAUGGGGUUUUGGCUUUUUAAAUAUGCGAUCCAAGCGGCAGGGUAGGGACUAAAGUAGGUCAACAGCCAACUCCGAGAAAGGAGUGUGGUCCUUUAAGGGUGUGCGCCAAGGGGCGGAGUCUAGAGCGGAAGUAGUAACUCCGGGCCGAAGUCCGGUGGAUGAAGGGCGGAAGUAGAGUGUCUAAUCCUGCAGUCAUGGCGCAGGAAGAGGAAGAUGUUAGAGAUUACAAUUUGACUGAAGAACAGAAGGCGAUCAAGGCCAAGUAUCCGCCAGUCAAUAGGAAGUACGAGUUGGAUUGUAUUACACAGAGCAUGAAUAUACUUCUUUAGGUUACACGCAUGGGGAGAUACUCUGGAGGAAGCAUUUGAGCAAUGUGCAAUGGCCAUGUUUGGUUACAUGACAGAUACUGGGACAGUGGAGCCCCUCCAAACAGUAGAAGUAGAAACCCAAGGAGAUGACUUACAGUCUCUUCUGUUUCACUUUUUGGAUGAAUGGCUUUAUAAGUUCAGUGCUGAUGAAUUCUUCAUACCCCGGGAAGUGAAAGUACUUAGCAUUGAUCAAAGAAAUUUCAAAUUACGAUCAAUUGGGU
rnacentral:lncRNA from 1 species